rnacentral:rRNA from 1 species
UGCCAGCAGCCGCGGUAAUACAGAGGGUCCGAGCGUUAAUCGGAAUGACUGGGCGUAAAGGGCACGCAGGCGGCUAUGUCAGUCAGAUGUGAAGUCCCUGGGCUUAACCUAGGAAUUGCAUUUGAUACUGCAUGGCUAGAGUCAGAAAGAGGGCAGUGGAAUUUCCGGUGUAGCGGUGAAAUGCGUAGAUAUAGGAAGGAACACCAGUGGCGAAGGCGACUACCUGGACCGAUAUUGACACUGAGGUGCGAAAGCGUGGGGAGCAAACAGGAUUAGAUA